UGGGAACAAAACUCAAAAGACACAAAAGAUCAUACAGUUGCCAGGUGUGAUGCUCAUGCCUGUAAUCUCAGCACUUUGGGAGACCAAGGCAGGAGGAUCGGUUGAGUUCGAGACCAGCCUGAGCAACAUAGCAAGACCCCCAUCUCUACAAAAAAAUAAAAAUUAGCUGGGCAUGGUGGCAUGAACCUCUAAUCCCAGCCCUUUGGGAGGCCAAAGUGGGAGUCUGAGACCAGCCUGGGCAACAUAGUGAGACCCUAUCUCUACAAACAAAAAUCAAGAAUAAAUUAGCCAGGCAUGGUGGUGCAUGCCUACGGUCCCAGCUACUGAGGAGGCUGAGGUAGGAGGAUCUCUUCAGCUUGGGAGGUCAAGGCUGCAGUAAGCUAUGAUGGUGCCACUACGCUGCAGCCGGCCGACAGAGCGAGACCCUGUCUAAAAAAAAAUAAAAAUAAAAGGUGGGGGAAUCAUCCAGUCAAAGGGUCGAAGGUCUCCCCUGACCCCUGAGCAGCUGGUCCCCUCCCCUGGAGUCAGCCUGUGUUCUGAUUUGUGCCUGUGUUCCCGGCUUUUCCGUGUGCGUUCAGGCAGCCACCCGUGUGCCUCCCUCUGCCUUGUCACCCUGCAGUGAGAGGCAAGCUGCUCUGAUGUCCC
rnacentral:lncRNA from 10 species